rnacentral:rRNA from 1 species
AGUGAACGCUGGCGGUAGGCCUAACACAUGCAAGUCGAACGGCAGCACAGUAAGAGCUUGCUCUUACGGGUGGCGAGUGGCGGACGGGUGAGGAAUACAUCGGAAUCUACUUUUUCGUGGGGGAUAACGUAGGGAAACUUACGCUAAUACCGCAUACGACCUACGGGUGAAAGCAGGGGAUCUUCGGACCUUGCGCGAUUGAAUGAGCCGAUGUCGGAUUAGCUAGUUGGCGGGGUAAAGGCCCACCAAGGCGACGAUCCGCAGCUGGUCUGAGAGGAUGAUCAGGCACACGGGGAAUGAGAGACGGUCCAGAGUGGUGGAGGAGGGAGCGGGGGGGAAAAAGGCACAAUGGGAGAAAGCCAGAGCCAGAAAUUCAGCGAGAGUGAUUAAGGCCGUAGGGAAGAAAAGCGCGUUCACCCGGUAUGAUAAGGACAGUACCGUGAGAAUAAGCCACGGCUAACUUCGUG